GCAUUUACCUGGAGGCUUCCUGCGCCUGCUUGCCGCUUAGCCUAGUCAUUAAUAAAUGCCAGAUCAAAUGCAUAAAUUGGACAUUAUUUUCACACUGAAACAAUUAGUGUAAAGAUUUUAUAUGAUUUAUGCAACAA
rnacentral:snoRNA from 1 species